UACGAAGGGGGCUAGCGUUGUUCGGAUUUCCUGGGCGUAAAGCGCGCGCAGGCGGCUUUGCAAGUCAGGGGUGAAAUCCCAGAGCUCAACUCUGGAAUUGCCUUUGAGACUGUGAGGCUUCGAGUACGGGAGAGGUGAGUGGAAUUCCCAGUGUAGCGGUGAAAUUCGUAGAUAUUGGGAGGAACACCGGUGGCGAAGGCGGCUCACUGGCCCGUUCCUGACGCUCAGGCGCGACAGCGUGGGGAUCAAACAGU
rnacentral:rRNA from 1 species